CCAAUAAAAAAAGGCUUGUGACAUAUAUGAACCAAUAUUUAAACAUUGAAUAAUUUUUUCUUUUGUAAUGUCUAAAUUAUUUAAUUAUUUAAGUAUAACCAAAUACAUUAUAGUUAUCUGAUUCUUAAAAAAAUUAAGAUAGCAAACUUAAUAAAUGAACUUUUAUUUAUCUUAUAUUGUCUUACAAUAAUGACAUAAUAUUCAAACCUAAAGAACAAUACAUUUAUUCAUCUUUUGGAGUUACUAAAACUUUGUUCCAUCAACUUGACAAACUCAUAGUGAUCAAUUAAUUCGUCUUCAUUUUGAUCAACAACAUUAAUCAUUUUCUGGCAUUCCACAAAAGUCUCUCUGAAAUCCCAAACAACUCAACAGCUUCUAUGAACCCAUCUUUGUUUUCAUCAAACAUAUUGAAAGUUUCCUCCACCUCUUCCAAACUAACCCCAUUUUCAAACAUAUUACUAAUUUCUUGCUCAUCACCAAAUUCCUCUAUAGCAACCCCUUCAAAUUCAUCUCUUAAUCCUAGCUUUUCCAUCACAUCAAAGAUUUCUUCUUUGCACAGUCUCACACCACUUUGAAUGCCGUUAUUCAAGCCCGGCUUCACUGCAUGUUCUUCACCAUUAGAGUAAUAAUAACUUGCAAGAGUGAUGAUGCAACAUUUAAUAUAAUGGGAAACAUAGCUCCAUAAAAUUGAGAGGAAGCAUUUAAUUCUAAUAUCACAUAGGAGAACUCUAGGAAACAAAGAUGAUCGGAACAUUUUUAUGUUACAAGGUAUUUGGUCUAUUGAUAAACAUAGGAGAACUCUAGGAAACAAAGAUGAUCGGAACAUUUUUAUGUUACAAGGUAUUUGGUCUAUUGAUAUUAGUAAAAUCACAUAGAGAGUAAGACUAUGUCUAAAC
rnacentral:lncRNA from 1 species